rnacentral:rRNA from 1 species
UACGUAGGGACCAAGCGUUGUUCGGAUUUACUGGGCGUAAAGGGCGCGUAGGCGGCAAUUCAAGUCAUCUGUGAAAUCUCCGGGCUUAACCCGGAACGGUCAGGUGAUACUGUUUUGCUAGAGUGCGGAAGGGGCAAUCGGAAUUCUCGGUGUAGCGGUGAAAUGCGUAGAUAUCGAGAGGAACACCAGAGGUGAAGACGGGUUGCUGGGCCGACACUGACGUUGACAGCGCGAAAGCCAGGGGAGCAAACGGG